GGUCCAUAUCAUUUUAAAGCACCGAUUUCCGUACGAUCACCGAAGUUGAGCAACGUCGAGCUUGGUCAGUACCUAGAUGGGUGAUCGAUAGGGAAUACCAGGUGCUGUAC